UACGUAGGGAGCGAGCGUUGUCCGAAGUUACUGGGCGUAAAGCGCGUGUAGGCGGUCCGGUAAGUCCGCUGUGAAAGUCGGGGGCUCAACCCUCGAAUGCCGGUGGAUACUGUCGGGCUAGAGUGCGGAAGAGGCGAGUGGAAUUCCUGGUGUAGCGGUGAAAUGCGCAGAUAUCAGGAGGAACACCAAUUGCGAAGGCAGCUCGCUGGGACGUUACUGACGCUGAGACGCGAAAGCGUGGGGAGCAAACAGG
rnacentral:rRNA from 1 species